GAGCUAUUUACAAGCACCUUCAACUCUUGUGUGCAGAGUACCUGCUUCACUUAUUCAUCUGCUAUCUAAGAUGAAGUGGUAGGCAAUCUUUAUGUGCUUUGUCCUCUCAUGGAAGAUCUACUGAUAUAGAUUGCUGAUUGAUCAUCACAAUAAAGUUUCACUGCAGCUUUGUGGUAAACUACAAUUUACAGGUAAAUCAUGGGAAAUUUGAUCAUUGUCUGAUGUAGAAGGCUGUUUUGUGACUGGUAAAGGUUCAACAGGAUAUAAUUCAACUUGGUUUAGGUCAAGUGACUGAAAAUUUUCACAAUUUGAAUCAAGAACAUCAAAAGGGACAGCAUACGUACCAGGUGUUUGAUGAAAAGUAAAAUCUUGUUUGUCAUACUUUGAAGAAUGAAAAAAAAGGUAUCUUUAUCGAAAAAAACACGUUUAGAUAUCAAGACUCUUUAUGCUUCAAGAUCAUAUACUUUAUACCCCGUGACAUUACUUGGAUAACCUAUAAAGAUGUAUUUGUUAGCCCUGCUUUCAAAUUUCUUCCUAUGUGAUAUUUGUGUGGAAGCAAAACACAAACAUCCGAAUACUUUGAAAUGAUCAAAUGAAGGAAGCCUUUUUAA